CUUCUUCUAAUUUUAGGGAUAUAUUAUUUUGUUUUGUCCAUGUUUGUUUUUGUUUAAAUCUAAAUUUUUUUGUUUCUAUAUAUUAUUCUCUAUGUUCUUCCUCAGUGUUGCUACUGGCAGUUGCUGCAUGUUCCAGGAUGUUGCUGUUUUGACUCAAAAUUUGUAAUAUAAGAUGCAGGAACAGUUGUAAAUUUUCAGACGCUGUGUUCUGGUCUACCAAGGAAUCCAUGGUUAAAAUAAAAAUUGUGAAAAUAAAAGGACAAAUGUAAAAGAUACUCAGUAAAAGUUGGCAAGGAGUUUAUGUUCUAUACUCUAUUUAUGCCUUUUUUGUUUUUUUUUUCUUAUAUUAGUCUAACUACUAGUAAAAACACCCUGGAAAACCAUAAAAAUAUUUAAUAGAUCCAAAAGUUGCUUCAUGAUGUGAGGAUAUGUACAAAUUAUAAUUAGUCAAUAUGCCCAGUGAUUAGUAUAUCAAAACAUAGAUUAUAUA